CCGGAUCGGAGUUUACUUCUCUGAAGUUUGAAAUAAACAGAUGUGCAGAAAUAUACAAACUAAAACAGCAGGUUAAAUUUUAACCCAGGGUUACACUAACCCACCUUUGAACAACUGCCCUUGGGAACUAUUAUUAACAUUUAGUGUAAAUAAAGUUUAGUUUUAGUUUCCCCCUGUAGUAACACUGAAUCAAUAAGAGAUUAUCCUUACUGGACCUCUAGGAAGAACAGUUAGAACUGACAGAGUUUUGGUACCAGCUUAUUGGGCUAACCUGUUCUAAAUAAAGUUCAUUUAUCUAUUUAUUUAUCAAAGUUUUGUAAUAUUAUUUUAUAUUUUAGUUCUUCAUCUUGCAACAAACAGUAUCGACCAGAUCAUUUAUUGGCAGCUCUAGCUGGUCUAGCUGUCAUUUCCGCUUGUUGGACACUGUAUCUUCUCCUGUUUUAACCAUACAACCUUGUGCAGGUAUGUGAAUCAAUGAUGAUAUCUUUAUAGGCACUAAAAAUGUACACAUGAAUUUUUAAAAUGCACAGGUGUAACCAAUACUAGUCCAAUGUUCUGCCAACUGAGCUACAAGUUGGUUCGAGUUGAUGAAAUUUCGAAUCUGAGUCUAGUUUGUUCGAUCAUAUCAUAAAAUAUCAGUAUAUUGAAGGAACUAGACUCAAUUCUGAAAUAUCAACUUGAACCGACUUGCUCACGCGUAGCUCAGAGCAUUGGACUAGUAUCCCAAAGGUUGGGGGUUCGAUUCCCAUUGUGGGCAAGCUAAUUUUUCAGCUGGUGUGAAUGCACACUCAGAGUAACAUCAUAAUUUUCAGAAAGUUUUGACGAUUAUUUUGGGUGAGUACACAGUGGUCCCCCAGGUUGCUUUUACCAAUGCCAAUAUAAAUCUUAUUGGCAUAGAAGUUAUAGAUUUGGAAUAAUAAUUUUGUAUGUUGCAUUCAAUCUAUUGCCCAAUCAGGGAGAUUCUUUUGUAAAUACCCACACCAAUCAGAAGUCUGUAUUUUUAUGCUAAAACAGAAAUGGCAUUCCAGAGUACUCUCUGUAUUAUACAGGCCUUAAAAUAUCUUUUGCAUGGCCGUAUGACAAAAUGUCCAAUGAUGUUGACUUUGGGUCGGACAGGGUGUCCCCCCAAAAAAAUGAUAAACCAUUGAAAUAACAUAUUGUUAAAAUUGAAUGCCCUAGCACUAAACUGAAUGCAAAGAUGCUUAAAAUAUUGACACCCUGUAUGUCCGAUCAGUUUUUACUCAGAAAUAAGUCUGAAUGACACGAAUGAAUAUCAGCACAUUUUCUGAACGGUAAAUGUUGUGAAGUCAUACUUAUUUCCAAGCAAAAAUUUACUCGCUUUCCAGAACAUCGGUACAUUAAAACAACAUACUACUCUGACUCCAUUUAACAUACAAGCGUCUAGUCCUGGGCUAGGGUACAUUUUGAUUUAUGUUGGACAAAGCUACAGUUUGGUCUGACACCAAUACACUCAGGUCGGACAAACAAUAAACCUCAGUUUCACUUAGGUCUGACAGAAUGUAUGGUGGUUUCGUCUCUACGUCGGACAAUUUCACGAAUGACCUGUGACCCAUAUUUUAAGGCCUGAAUUAUAUUCAAAUUUAGGGUGUGUUGCAGUUCUAUAUUUUGCUGUUUGCAUUUAUGUUUGUUCUGGGAUAAAAUAUUGAAUUAUACCUCAAAGUGGAAGUCAAGUCCGUUCUGCGCAUCGGUUCUGCUCAUAACAAUGUGAGGACCCUCUAAAGUGAACAUUGCCCAAAUUUCGAAUGUGUCGAAUUUGUCUGAACAUAAACUCUAUUUCAUAUUCAUUUAGAAGCAUAGCGAACCAAAAUUUUGUUAGAUAUUCAGACAGUACAUCAUAUUUUAAAAAAAUACCAGAGUUCUUGUUUACAUUACGGACUUGACUUCCACUUUAAAUUAAUGAUGUUUCAUGAAGUUUAGUUCAAUUUAGUAGAGAGAUGAGUGCAUAAAGUAUUUAGGGUAUUUUGAAGCUAAAUUUGUUUUAAAAUUCGUCAUUUUAGUGAAAUGGUGUGGAACACAAUGCAUUCUUUUCUGGUUGUCCUGGUUGUUGCAAGGAGACAUCGGGCAUUGUAAUGAAUGGAUGACAUUGUGUGUUGCUGGGAAACCUACACCAUGUGCAUUUUCUUGGUGGAUAUCUUGGGCAAAUGUGCAAUAUCAUGAGGGAUAUCUUGGGAAAAUAUCUUGUAUAAAUUGGUACGAUUACUAAAGAAGGAUGAUGUUGUAAGGUUAGUGGAUAUGUAUAAUAGUGAUAAAAUGGGAGUUCCCUGCAAAUAGGAACAAAGUAAGGCUGCCCAAUUAAGUGGAAACAAUAUUGCGGAGUGUAACAAUCUAACAAUAUGAUGGACUGAUUAAUCUGUAAAAAUUAUGCAUGCCUAGAACAUGCAAAAAUUGCGACAAAUAUAUCACAAAACAUGCUUCUUUACAACUACAUGCUAUGUUUAUAGGAAUUUGAAUAAGUUUUUAGUAGGCAUGAUUUAGGAUUUUUGUUUUUAUUUAUGAUUUUCUAUAAAUUGGGUCCCCAACUAAUUUGCAACAUAAUGUCUAAUACUGUUAAUGGUUAUAAAAUUUAUAAUUGGUGUGUGACAAGUGAGGCUGAAGCAAGCAGGCAAAGCAGCAUUGUAAUGUUGUACAGACAGGAGGUUUUGGAAGUAAAUUGUAUUUACAGUAUGGCAUUCUUGUCAUGCUUGCUAUGCACAGAACACACUUGUUGCUAUGCACAGAUUAACAGUGUCCCACAGCAGUAUGCAUUAUAAGUCCAUCAAGAAAAUAUAAUAUUUCACAAAGUAAAAAUUCUUUGGUAUUAUUAGAUAUAAAUAUAUAAUUUCUUGUAACGUUUGUGACAACAUUUACAUUCUUUAAUAACAUAUAGCAUAGUGUGUCUAUUGAAAUCUGAUCUAUCUUUGGUUAAGUGUAAAAAAAUACCUGUGGUUCCGGUUCCCGACUGACCCUAUUUUUUUCUGCUGACCCUACUAUUUUUUCGACAAGAUUGACUGUGCGACCGUAUUUUCUCCAGGUGGUUGUGGGCUGCUCAUACAGCGUGCCAAAAAUGCCAUCUGUUAUCACACUAAUUAUUGAACUAAAUUGCCUAAAUUCGUCCAUAAGAAAUAAGCAUCUCUAGUUAAUAUUGAUGUCGAGACUCUACUGCAAAUCGCCCAGCAAGAAACCGCCAAAACCAUGAAAAAAAUUUUUAUUUCCAACCCUAAUUUUUUCACAAUCUGAAACUGGAACCACAGGUAUUUUUUUACGCCUUGACAUCAUUCUGCACACAAUGAAGUGUUCACGACAAAGAAAAUAUACAAGCAUUAAAUAUAUUCUGCAUUAUUUCUCAAUCCUUGCUCAAUGACAAAAACAUACUUGCGCGCCCAAGUAUUGUUGUGGAUUUUAGAACUCUUUAUGCUUUAACCCAUUGAGUGGGAGCACUGUCCACUUGACAAGUAAAAUCCUGUGGUGUUAGACAGAGUAAAAUACUAAAGUAGGCUGCAUCAUGGCGUAAUUCAACUUAAAGGUUAACCAAAACAAAGUUUGUACAUUUUUACAAAAGAUUUUUACACAGUAUCAUGCCUGUUCGUAUUUUGAAGUUUGUUGAGUUGCACCUGAUACUGCAUGUACAUAUAUAUAUAUAUAUAUAUAUAAAGAAUGUAACCCGGGGGGGGGGGCUAGUAGGGAACCACCUCCAGGCCGAUUUACACUCACCUGCAACAACUUAGGGGGUUGUGUGCUUGAUUUGCACAGUGCAACUCAAGUUGUAAGCAUGUUGUAUGGGACCAUCUGAUGGAAAUGACCUAUAUUUUUCAAUUGAUGUUUUUUAUCACUUGAAAGUAAUUACUUUCAAUUAAAAGAAUGGAUUUGGACAAUUUUCAGAAAGUUUGGAGUAGGUUUGUGCACUUCUAGAAUUAAAAAAUAUCCUGCGUUCCCCCAUUUUGAUUUGACCAAAAUAUUCCAAUUCAUGUUUUCAUCAUUUGAAAGUAAUUGUUUUGAUUAAGGGAACAGUUUUUGACCAAUUUUCAGAAGGUUCACAUUAUUUUCCUAGUUAUACAGGGUGUAUCAAAAAAAGCGCAAUCCUCGACUGAAAUGUAAAUUGCUAAACAAAUAAUAGACGAAAACGUUAAAGUUUACAUUCAUUUUAAAGCGUAGCCAUUCAGCUUUCUAACAGUGGGUUGUUUCUUAAAUUUGACUCAUUGGUUCGCGGCUAAUAAUACUUUACGUUAUUGCGAUUGGAGAUUAAAAAAAUUGAGAUGGAAUAACAAAUUGUUCUCAUGAAAAUAACUGAUUUUUUCAUUAAAACAAAAAAAUGUUGCAUUUUAUUAAAUGGAUUGUAACAAUAAGUAUAAUUACGGCUUUUCUUCCACUAUUUUUAACUCAGUUUGAAACUUCAAAUGCGAUAUAAUUUUGGCUUGGAUUAUCUAAGCUGACUGACAUCAACUUGCUAUAAUUUCUGUUUACAUUACAUCGCAAUUCGAUGACACUCUGGCUCAGACACCAGAAUGUUUUGACGAUUUUUAGCAUUCGUUUAGGAUUUUCAAACAACCUGGUCUCUUUUAAAAUACUUUUAAUUUGUUCUUACGUGGUUUUCCAGAUGUAGUGACGACAACAUUAAAGUUUAAAGAAGAAAAUUCUAACAUUUAAACCGACUAAACAAUAACAUAGUAAACUUGCAUAAUUAAACAGCAACUAAAAAUGAUAGGUUUUACUAAAUCUUUUCCUGUGCAAUUAUUACUAGCAUUGGAGACAAGGAUAAUAGUUUGUUUGAAAGAGAAAAGAACAGGCUUUGAAGUAAGCCUAAAAGCGUUUAGCUAGAAAUAGUAUUUCGAAAGUUAUUAAGCACAAAAGAUGAAUUGCGUUUAUUUUGAUACACCCUGUAGACUUGUAAUUGUGUGACAUAACUUCUAGUUAUAGUUUGUGUUCUUCUAACCAUCCUUGAACUUUUGUUCACGCCUAGUGACUUAUUUCAGUACAUGAAAAUCAUCCCAUCUUUCAUCCUGUCCCUUAGCCAUUAAGUUGAUUUGCACCCUAAUUUACCUACUUAUAUUGUUUAACUCUGUCUAACGUCAGACAAUUUUAUUAAGCAGGGGGUCCACUAAGCAGUUAAUGGGUAACUAGAUACAUUGGGGCAGUCUCAUUAUGAAGCAUAAAAUUGUCUGGCAUUGGACAGUAAACUACUCAAGUAGAGCAUGCAUCAGGACACAGUACAACGGUUUAAUUUGUUUCUUUGUAGCAAAAGUUUUAUAUCUGAAUUAAUUAUAGAUUUUUUGCUUUGUUUUACAGAUCAUUACUGAACAUUGCUAUGAAAUAUUGAUUUAUAAAAUAUUCUGUUACCAAGAUGACAUGCCUCGAGGAAAUACCUCUAUUUCUGAUCAAAUUACAACAAUACACCAAAGACAGUAGUUGUGAUCAUCAAGCUAUGAAUUUAAAGAAAAUGUACCAAACGACAAAGACAAUGAUGAUGAAAUUGGAUGCCUCGGGUGAAAUGAAAGGAUUGAAUGUCAUGGUCAGCAGUGGAUAUUUGUGACUAUACCUAAAUGGAUACAAAGAAACUAUGAUGGAUAUACAAAGGUCACAGAAAUGUCUACUUUCAGGUACUGUCCUUUCCAUUGUUUGUUUUGUUGUUCUGUUCUGGGUACAACGAAAUCCGGCAUAAAUCCUGGCGGUAUAUAAAUGUUUAGUAUAUAUUUACACAUUCGAUCUAUUUUCUGUUCAGAAGACUUUGAUAGCUUGAAUGAAAGUUUACGAUGAUUUUCUUUGCAAAAACUGUACUGUCGUAAUUCAUCAGCUUCUGAAUUUGAAAACGGAUCUGAAAAGAGAGAACAUUUGAGUGUAUGGUUAUUGCAUGGUUCUAAUGAUUCGUUUAUGUUACCAUUGUUUCCCUCUGUGUAAAUAUACUGCCUUGGUGCAUGCACACACAUUACAAGUGCAGCAACGCAACAGUUUAGACAGGGUCAUGAGGCAGGAUGUGUA
rnacentral:lncRNA from 1 species